AGUGAACGCUGGCGGCAGGCCUAACACAUGCAAGUCGAGCGGCAGCACGGCAAUAGCAAUAUUGUGGGUGGCGAGCGGCGGACGGGUGAGGAAUGCAUCGGGAUCUACCCUGUCGUGGGGGACAACGUAGGGAAACUUACGCUAAUACCGCAUGAUCUGGAGACAGCAAAGCCGGGGACCCGCGAGGGCCUGGCGCGAUGGGAUGAGCCGAUGUCCGAUUAGCUAGUUGGCGGGGUAAAGGCCCACCAAGGCGACGAUCGGUAGCUGGUCUGAGAGGACGACCAGCCACACUGGAACUGAGACACGGUCCAGACUCCUACGGGAGGCAGCAGUGGGGAAUAUUGGACAAUGGGGGCAACCCUGAUCCAGCCAUGCCGCGUGGGU
rnacentral:rRNA from 1 species